GUUCAAUCAGUGAUGUCACUUUCUGAAAUACUGAAUGAGUCCUGAUGUCCCAAGUAAAACAAAGGACAAUUUUUACUUAGUUUGCAGAGAAGCUGAAAUUCUGGAAGAUUUGUGUGCUACCAACACCCAAAACUGCCUAUUUGUACAUGAACUACAAUCCAGCCCUGGGCAGGCUUUUUACCUCCAUGGUUAUCCAGGGCAUGAGUGGCAGUUGUGUGGGAUGCAAGGUAGACCUUCACUGUGUGGCUCAUGCCCAGGCCUGGCAGGGAGUGUCCAUCCCUGGUUCCUGUCCACUAGACACCUGUAGCACCCUUCCACAUCAGGACAACCAAGAAAGCCCCACACAGUACCUCCAGAAUGGCUCCAUUGUAGACCUCCACCUAGAGCAGUUGUGAACAGGUGACUGACUAUAAGUGGUGGCCCCACAAGAGACUUUACUUAAGGCCUGAUACUAUUCUUCCAUGCUCCCUUGGACUUACAGAGGUGUAAGCUUGGCAUUUGCCAAGCACAUUUUAUCAGAAUGCAACAGGUGAUCUUAACAUCACAUGUGAUGAGCUGAGUAAGUCCAGUUCAUAUGCCUUUUACCAGAUGUGGGAUGGAGGAGCUCUGCUUCCUGCUUACACUCCUGCCCCUCAGGUAGCGGCAGCAGCAUAGGAUAGUCAAGGGCAGCCCUGGACCCCACUGCUAUUGAUCCUGGCAGGCUAACCACUGGGCCUCUGUACCCCUGCUCUCCUUCUAUCCCUGCCCAGGAUGGUGUUCUUCCUGGAGGAUGUCAUGGCAUGCACACAGCGCCUGUUGGAGUGGAUCGCUGGCUGGCUACCUCGCCAUUGCAUUGGGGCUGUCCUGGUAUCCCUGCCUGCCCUUGCUGUCUAUUCACACAUCACCUCCGAGUUUGAGACAAAUGUACAUUUCACCGUGUUCACCAGCUCAGCCGUGUUAGUGGCUGUCGUGCACUACUGUAACUUCUGCCAGCUCAGCUCCUGGAUGAGGUCCUCCCUUGCUACCAUCGUGGGGGCCGGGCCACUGCUUCUGCUCUACAUCUCCCUGUGUCCAGACAGGUAUGCAACUAGCAUCCUCCACUCACUACCACCUUGCCUGGUGUCACUUAGGGGUCUACUGCACUUUCACAUUAGCACUGAUUCUGUCUUCGAUGACAAGUGUUUCUAUCAUGACCUAAAAUGACUUCCAAUGCAUAUAAUGUCUAAAAAAUAAAACUGUGUCCCAGGAACAAUAUGCAAAAGAAAAAAGAAAAAUCAGUUAUAAUAACAUAUUAUAACAUAUAUUCAAAAUCCAAAGUGUUAGAAAUCCAAGUUUUUGAGCACUGACAUGAUGUCAUAAAUCUUAUUGUUCAUUGUAUACAAACUUUAUUUCAUGAACAAAAUAAUUUAAAAUAAUGUAUAAAAAUACCUUUAGGUUAUCUGUAUAGUGUGUAUAUGGAAUAUAAAUGAAUUUUGUGUUUAGACUUGGUUCUCUUCCCUAAGAUAUCUCAUUGUGUGUUCUGAAAUCCAGAAUUAUUCUGGUUCCAAACAUUUCGGGUAAGGGAUACUCAAUGUACAUUUGAAUAUAGACUUCUUUGGGUGACUCUCUCUGAAAGGCAUAAUACAAUUGGGACACACCUGAACUCACUUGUAAUAAAUAAGUUGAAUUUAAGAAAGUAAGACCUGAAACCAGCACACAUAAGAUGACUAGGCCACUGAAAGAGCAGAGGUCUAGGUAGGCACAGAGAUGAGGAGGAAGUAGGCACACAUUCUAGGAC
rnacentral:lncRNA from 1 species